rnacentral:sRNA from 1 species
UCGACUAAGGUUCGACUCGAGCGUCAGUGAGAGAACGUUGCCGCAGGCAACGGCCCGAAGGGCGAGGCGCUUUAGCGCCGAGUAAUCCUUCCCCCACUACUG